GAUGAAGAACGCAGCGAAAUGCGAUAAGUAGUGUGAAUUGCAGAAUUCAGUGAAUCAUCGAAUCUUUGAACGCACAUUGCGCCCCUUGGUAUUCCAUGGGGCAUGCCUGUUCGAGCGUCAUUUGUACCUUCAAGCUUUGCUUGGUGUUGGGUGUUUGUCCAUUCUCUUGCAGAGGGACUCGCCUUAAAGUAACUGGCAGCCAGUGUUUUGGUUUUGAAGCGCAGCACAAGUCGCGAUUCAACGCUAUACGCCAGCUUCCACAAGCCUUUUUCACUUUUGACCUCGGAUCAGGUAGGGAUACCCGCUGAACUUAAGCAUAUCAAUAAGCGGAGGA
rnacentral:misc_RNA from 1 species